rnacentral:rRNA from 1 species
UGGGGAAUCUUGCGCAAUGCGCGAAAGCGUGACGCAGCAACACCGCGUGAGGGAAGACGGCCUUCGGGUUGUAAACCUCUUUCAGGAGGGACGAAGGUCCAGCAGUUAAUAGCUGCCUGGACUGACGGUACCUCCAGAAGAAGCUCCGGCUAACUACGUGCCAGCAGCCGCGGUAAUACGUAGGGAGCGAGCGUUGUCCGGAAUCAUUGGGCGUAAAGAGCGCGUAGGCUGCCCGAUAAGUCUGCUGUGAAAGUCAACGGCUCAACCGUUGAAAGCCAGUGGAAACUGUCGGGCUAGAGUACGGAAGAGGCAAGUGGAAUUCCUGGUGUAGCGGUGGAAUGCGCAGAUAUCAGGAGGAACACCUAUAGCGAAGGCAGCUUGCUGGGACGUUACUGACGCUGAGGCGCGAAAGCGUGGGGAGCGAACAGG